rnacentral:ribozyme from 13 species
AUGAAACAAGAGAAAGACAAAGAAAAAAACAAGAAAAAAGAGAAGGAAAAA